CCUCCUUAAAAAAUAAUCGUUUGGAAUAGGCGUUCACAUGAAUUGCUUGCUUUUACCUAAAUCAUUUCUUAACUGAUAUGAGAUUACGGGGAGUUCUUUAACAUUUUUAUAAGUUCAAUCAAGUCGCAUCAUAGUGUCUUUAUUUUUUAAAUUUAGAUAUGAAUGGUGUGCAAAUGUCACCAAACCCGUCAUGUUUUAGAACAUAAGUUUGGUGUACAUACUGCAAAGUAAUUUUGGCGUUAUGUAAUAUAGAUAUACUUGGAAGAGCAUUAAUCAUUAAAGUUGUUUGAUGUAAUAUGGUCAAGUAAUUAACCGCAUACCGGUGGAUGCCUUGGGCAAGGGCGAAUUCCAGGCACACUGGACGGCCGUUUACUAAGUGGAAUCCGAACCUCGGUAACCAAGGCUUGGCCGUAAAUCAUGGGUCCAUAA
rnacentral:misc_RNA from 1 species